AGCGAACGCUGGCGGCAGGCUUAACACAUGCAAGUCGAACGCCCCGCAAGGGGAGGGCAGACGGGUGAGUAACACGUGGGAACGUACCCUUUGGUUCGGAAUAACUUGGGGAAACUCAAGCUAAUACCGGAUAAGCCCUUAUGGGGAAAGGUUUACUGCCGAAGGAUCGGCCCGCGUCUGAUUAGCUAGUUGGCGAGGUAAUGGCUCACCAAGGCGACGAUCAGUAGCUGGUCUGAGAGGAUGAUCAGCCACACUGGGACUGAGACACGGCCCAAGCUCCUACGGGAGGCAGCAGUGGGGAAUCUUGAACAAUGGGCGCAAGCCUGAUCCAGCCAUGCCGCGUGAGUGAAGAAGGUCUUCGGAUUGUAAAGCUCUUUUGCCAGGGACGAUAAUGACGGUACCUGGAGAAUAAGCCCCGGCAAACUUCGUGCCAGCAGCCGCCGUAA
rnacentral:rRNA from 1 species